AUUGAACGCUGGCGGCAUGCCUUACACACGCAAGUCGAACGGCAGCACGGGAGCAAUCCUGGUGGCGAGUGGCGAACGGGUGAGUAAAGUAUCGGAACGUGCCCAGUCGUGGGGGAUAACGUAGCGAAAGUUACGCUAAUACCGCAUACGAUCUAUGGAUGAAAGCGGGGAUCGCAAGACCUCGCGCGAUUGGAGCGGCCGAUAUCAGAUUAGGUAGUUGGUGGGGUAAGGCUCACCAAGCCGACGAUCUGUAGCUGGUCUGAGAGGACGACCAGCCACACUGGGACUGAGACACGGCCCAGACUCCUACGGGAGUCAGCAGUGGGGAAUUUUGGACAAUGGGCGAAAGCCUGAUCCAGCCAUGCCGCGUGCAGGAUGAAGGCCUUCGGGUUGUAAACUGCUUUUGUACGGAACGAAAAGGUUUGGCCUAAUAAGCUGAGCUCAUGACGGUACCGUAAGAAUAAGCACCGGCUAACUACGUGCCAGCAGCCGCCGUAA
rnacentral:rRNA from 1 species